GGGGAACAGUAAGAUCUAUAUUGUGCAAGUUGCUUACUGCCAAAUUCAGUGUCUAUUGAGAUACAACGAUACCAUCCAAAAGAAUACAAAGACAGUUUUUGAGGACAGGAGGACAGAAACAUGAUGAAGUGUGAAGAUUUUUCCAGUAUCACACACUGGACCAACAGAUCAAAAAAUUUGCAUCCUCAUAUUCUGCAUCUUGGAAACUCCAUCCUGACCUUUCCUGUUUGUCUGGGCCAGAAGCAAUGCCGCACCCGCUGCCUGGCAGAACAAAUGAUCACGCUGACUGCUAUUCAAGUGUAUAAUGUUGCAUCAUCUUCAACACAGCAUUACGCCUAG
rnacentral:lncRNA from 1 species